rnacentral:rRNA from 1 species
GCACCCGCGGUAAUUCCAGCUCCAAUAGCGUAUAUUAAAGUUGUUGCAGUUAAAAAGCUCGUAGUUGGAUUUCUGCCGAGGACGACCGGUCCGCCCUCUGGGUGCGUAUCUGGCUCGGCUUGGCAUCUUCUUGGAGAACGUAUCUGCACUUGACUGUGUGGUGCGGUAUCCAGGACUUUUACUUUGAGGAGAUUAGAGUGUUUCAAGCAGGCACACGCCUUGAAUACAUUAGCAUGGAAUAAUAAGAUAGGACCUCGGUUCUAUUUUGUUGGUUUCUAGAGCUGAGGUAAUGAUUAAUAGGGAUAGUUGGGGGCAUUCGUAUUUAACUGUCAGAGGUGAAAUUCUUGGAUUUGUUAAAGACGGACCACUGCGAAAGCAUUUGCCAAGGAUGUUUUCAUCAAUCAAGAACGAAAGU